rnacentral:rRNA from 1 species
UACGUAGGUGACAAGCGUUGUCCGGAUUUACUGGGCGUAAAGAGCGCGCAGGCGGUCGUUCAAGUCGAGUGUGAAAGCCCCCGGCUCAACUGGGGAGGGUCAUUCGAUACUGAUCGACUCGAAGGCAGGAGAGGGAAGCGGAAUUCCCGGUGUAGUGGUGAAAUGCGUAGAUAUCGGGAGGAACACCAGUGGCGAAGGCGACUUCCUGGCCUGUUCUUGACGCUGAGGCGCGAAAGCUAGGGGAGCAAACGGG